CAGAACUGGGACCAGUGGGUUUUCUCAUUGACAAUCCAGCUGCCAAGACUGCCAAUCAGACUUAAGUAUGUUCUUCCCACCUCAGGAUUUCCACUGUUUACCUCACCGAGGUAACCUAGACCAUUAGAGGCCGUAGGUUCUAACCCCAGCUGUGGCGCUGUGUAGCAUUAAACAAGUUGACUAAUCUUUUUGUGCUAACAGAUAAAUCUGCUUCCCCUAGAUAGCUUCCUUUAUCUCAAAGAAAAUGCACACUUUGUGCGUUAUCAACUAGACUAAGAAAUGUCAGCCAAGAAGGUCAAAAUGAAAGAAACAUGGUGGCUUAGCAUAGCCUCGACAGGCAGCCAGAGUUGAGAUGGGCAUGCGGGAAGAGCAAGGAGUCCAUGGAAAUUCUGCUUGUUAGUGAUGGUGAACUGGAGUGGCCUGGAUAUUUGAAUCAGCACCCUGGGUUUUUCAGCAGAUACUGGGGUUUUUCAGAUAUUUCCGAACUACACAGUCCUCCCAUGUUAUCAUCCUGUUGACUUUCCACAGGUGUGAAACCUGAGUCAGGGAGGCUGAAUACCUUGGCCAAAGUCGCACGACAGAGCAAGGGACGGAGUCCCGAUUGCAAAGCUGCCGUGUCAGCUCUGAAGCCUGUGCAUCUGACCACCAGGUAACACCAGAAUUGUGAGCCUGUAAAGGUGCAGUGUUGGGAAAUAAAUUUAUAAAAAUCGGCCGGGGCCAGUUGGGGAGGCUCUGAGAGGCCAGAUUAAGGAACUUGGGGCAUUGUUGUCUUCUGGGCAGCAGGGAGCCACUAGAUGGGAAAGACAGGCAGAGUCUGCCCCUCCUUCCCCCCUCCAAUGAAGUUUUACUUGUUUUUUUAUUAAAAAAAAAUUU